GUACGACCACGCGAAUAUCGCACAACAAGAGAACAUUUUCAACUAUUUCAACCAUAAACUUCGUUCGUUCUCUGCGCCAGUGAAAAAGUUAAGCAUGCAGGUUCCAAAUAAGCAAAAAGACGAGGCUUUUCAGGUACAUUAAAUCUUUAUAAAAACUAAAUAUAUAUUUUUUUAUC